UACAGAGGUCUCAAGCGUUGUUCGGAUUCAUUGGGCGUAAAGGGCGCGUAGGCGGCGGGGUAAGUCGGGUGUGAAAUCUCAGGGCUCAACCCUGAAACUGCACUCGAUACUGCUCUGCUUGAGGACUGGAGAGGAGACUGGAAUUCACGGUGUAGCAGUGAAAUGCGUAGAGUAUCGUGAGGAAGACCAGUGGCGAAGGCGGGU
rnacentral:rRNA from 1 species